CUUCUUCUCUUUUCCCCUUUCAUUUUACUGUUUUUGGGAUUUUCUUUCGCCGUUUCGAUUCUCUCUUUGCUUUUAUUUCUUGCCGUUGAUGAUCAUGGCCUCACCGUUACUAUAAGAAGAAUAUGAAAUCAAUCUUCUGGAAGAAACAUUAUUCGAUAUUGGAUUGCUUCGAUAUGCAUCGCAGUGGAUUGGUAACCUGAGACGUUGAUCUGGUGGGCUGCAUCAUGGGGUGGGCCAUUCCGUAAUGUCUACCCCGCCAGAUGAUCCUACCCGUCUAAUUGAAACAAGCAGCGGUUAGGAUCUGUCUGUUGGGGAAGAUUUUGGUUUGCUCUCAUUCACCAUGCGUACCGCUAUUGAUUUGGAUCGCCGGGUGGGCCCCACCUGUGUAGUUUGUUCGGUUGCUCAAAAGCUCGAUCAAGCAUGACACCUCUGUCAUACCUGUUAGGCAAAAGCGAGUUGGAACGGUAUUUUAAUAGAUGAAAAAUGAAAACCGAAAAAACAAUUUUAAGAUUCGGUCACAAGUGCACGCCAAAAUCAUGUUUGAGUAACAAUUUAUAUCGUGGUUUGUGGGUUUUUAUUCUGCUUUGUGGUUUUGUUGACAAUGAAUUCAUGAAAAAACUUCUUGUCAGGACAGUCAGAAGCUAUGAAUGGUGAAAUUCUUGAAAUGUUUGUGAAAAGAAGCGGCGAGGAGACGGACCUUUUUUCCUUUAGCCAUUUAGUGAUGUUUUGAGUUCUGAGAGUUGUGUUCAGUCUUUUUCUGGUUACUGGUUGGGCCCCUUAAAACAAAGGUGAAUUGGUUUGUUUUGUUAGAGAACAUGUCUGCAAUCCUGCUAGCCGCCUUGCUAUUCAGGUCUAUGAUUUGAAAAUUCCCAUAAUAGUUUAGCUUGACCCAGCCCCCCUGUUUGGGCUCUCUACAUGUCAGGGGGGCACAUCAGUUGGUAAUAAACUGCUGUGAUUCCUGUCUAUUUUGUUCUUAGUUGUGUCAAUGAAAUGCCUCUAUUGUAAGUUUCAAGAUUGGCCUGUGCUGAAACCUCUGACAUUGUUUCUCUGGCCAUGUUAGAUACUGAAGUCUCUUUGAAUAGUUUCUUAUUGUGUUACUUGCAAAUGUGCCACAAUUGUUGUGCUUUCUCUUUUUUGAUCCACAUGUCCAUAUGAUAACAAUAGUAUUAGCCAUGUUUAAAUCGAUGUGUGGUCAGAGACAGCCAGGGAAGUAGAAUCAUGGUGUAUAUUCAUUGAUGCUUUGUAGGAAAGAGAUAUGUUAUUGUUGUUGAGCUCAAGUUGAAUUAGAAGUCAGUGAUAGGAGUUAAGAGAAGGAAUAGAGCCUCUUUGUUAUGGGUUGCUCCUUUAAAGUGUUGUUAAAUGUAUUUUGAUGGGUAAUCUGGGUUUUGUUGUUAUUGGUAGUGUGUUUAGGCGUGAGUAAAGGACUAGUUCGACUCUAUGUUACCUAUGCCGCUCACCCCCUUACAUCUUCCAUUACCAAUUGCACAAUCAGAUAGUAAUGACAAUAUAUGAACCAGAUCACAAUUUUUACUUGCCUAAUUAUGGUUUACAUAUUGUUCAAAA